rnacentral:rRNA from 1 species
UACGUAGGGUGCGAGCGUUGCCCGGAUUUAUUGGGCGUAAAGGGCGCGUAGGCGGCCACGCACGUCCGUUGUGAAAUCGCCCGGCUCAACUGGGCGGGGUCAGCGGAUACGGUGUGGCUAGAGCAAGCUAGGGGGCAAUGGAAUUCCCGGUGUAGUGGUGGAAUGCGUAGAUAUCGGGAGGAAGGCCGGUGGCGAAGGCGG